UUAUAUUUUUUAAAUUCAACCGUCUUUUAUUUUAAAUAAGUAAAAAAUAAAGGAAGAAUAAUGUUACCUUCCCAACUCGAAUCAAUGGACGAGUUCAAAUCAGCAAAGCGGCUAGGCCUGCCAAGCAGUUGAAUAUAAUUGGUUGGAUCCGAAGGUGGAAAACAAUCAUGUUUAAUCGCUCGGCAAGCAGACCUAGCCGUUUUGCUGACUUGAACUCGUCCAUUGAUUCACGUUGGAAAAGUGAAAGUAUUCUUCCUUUAUUUUUGGCUUAUUUAAGAUAAAAGACAGUUAAAUUUAAAAAAUAUAAGAUUGAACUCGCUCAAUAAAUCAAACAUAGACUGACAUGAGAGCACAGCAGCAAAAUUAUGAAAAUUUUGGAAUUGCAAGUAUGUCAAAAAAUUUAAGAAUCGCAAACAUUUUACAAGAAAAAUAAUUUUUUCGAGUGACGAUGAAGAGCAUAAACAAACAAAAGAUUAAGAAGAGUUAUUCCAAUCUCGCAAAUAAAAAAUUGUCAAAUGAUAUAUAUUCGAAAGAAAAUCAUCCAGUAAAUGUGAGUAGUUAGAAAAAAAUUACUAUAAAUAAAUACUACUUUUAUUUAUUAAAUUAUAAUUCAUUUUGGCUUUGGAUGAUUUCCGGUUUAUAAUUCCAUAGGUCUAAUUCUUCCACAUAUUCUUCCACAUGUAGUUAUCAAACGUUAUUCCACGUGUAGUUAUCAGACGUUAUUCUUCCACAUGUAGUUAUUUUAAUAAAUUCAAAAUCUUUGAAAUAAGAAAUAUAUAUAUAGUUUCUUUUUUCUUAGGUUAUUUAUAAAUGUACAACUAGAAAUGAAACAAAUAUAGAAAGUAAGACUGAUAGUAUCCCAGAAGUGAUGGAUAAUAUAAAUGAUCAAAAAAACCAAAAAGAUUUUUUUAUAAAAAUGGUAAAAUAAAACAAAAUAAAAUAAAAGAACUAGAAAAUGCAAUAAAAAAUAAAGAAAAUAUACUGACAGAAUUAAAAAAUAAAAAUAAUUUUUUAAAAAUAAAAAAUAAAAAACUUAAUGAUUAUAUCAAAACUUUAAAAAAUGAUGAAAACAAUGGAGAGGAUUCUGAUAUUUGGAAAAACAAAGUAAAGGAAUUAGAAGAAAAAAUAAAAAAUACAAUAAAAGAAAAUAGAAAAUUGAAAACUACACUUGCUUGUAAUUAUAAAGAUUGGCAUAACAUGCAGCUACAAAAUGGCAAAAAAACAGUAAAAAUAUAGAAGCAAUUUUGAAAAUGAAAGAAAAUUUUACAAUGGAGAACUCAUGUAACUUAACUAUGAGAUGCAAUAAGAAAGAUAAAUUGUCGAUCGAAUCAGAAAAUGAUGCAUUGAAAGAAACAUCGAAAAUAUUACAGAUGAAUUUUCUGAGAUAGAUGAAAUUACUGACAGUGAUAAAUUAAAUAAUGCUUCUAAAACUUCUGAUAAAAAUUAUAAGGUAAUUAUUGUUUUCUUUAAAGAAGAAUAAGAGCAGACUUAUUUAUCAGUACA